rnacentral:sRNA from 1 species
AGGAUCCAUCUCCAACAAUACAACUAUAUAAUUAAAAUUUAGUCUUCUAUUAUUUAUCUGUUUUCUAUAUAUCCAUAAGUUUGAUUAUUAUUUGAUUUUUUCUCAAAGGGAUAUUUAUUCAUAAACCAAUCUUACAAACCGGGUGAACCGGAUAACCUAGUAAACCGGUACCCACAACCCCUUCAGCGAAAUAUGCAAACAGAAGCUGACACAAUUUCCAGCGAGUGAACAACCGGAAACAUCUCCGGAUUAUGAAAACAGACAGCUAUUAAACCGAAAAAGAUAAAGGAUUCAAUUUAAUCUUCAAAUUCUUUCUCUUCUCAUCACUGGAUCUUUUCCGAAAACAAAAGCAUGAAAGAAGUCGUCGACAAACAAUCAACGACGAGGUGAAGCUUCUGAUCUCUUGUCAUCACUUGCUAAUAAGAAUAGACUUUGGAAAUUGAUACCUUGACUUCUUGGAAUGGCAAGACGGACCUCAAAUGAGGUGAUUGAAACCGUCAAAAACGCCGGACCGUUUCAACUAUAACGGUUGGAAGGAGCCAAGCAACCCAUAAUUCGCCCAGAUCUGAAUUUUGAUUCAUGUGGAUGAGACUAAAACAGUCGCCCAAUCGAAACACCAAAACACUUACCUGAUUGUGGAUGGUGGUGGGACAGAUCGAGAAUAGACCAUGAAACUUUCUAGUUAGAAAAGAAGAAAAAACUGAUAUCAAAUUGUUUCGCAAAUCAAUUCGGUGAAACAAACACAACGGCAACAGAAUAGCCAUGAGAACCGCCGGAUACACCUGAUGGCGAGAUAGGACAGCGAGAUGGAUCGACAAAACCGGAUCACAUCCGGAUUCAUAAGCCGGUAAAGCGUACCGGACGGCUAAAUCUCGAUCAAAAUCUCUCUCUCUCUGAAAAGUUUAGAGAGAGAAGAGAGAGAGAAGAGAGAGAGAAGAGAGAGAGAGAGGUGUUUUUAAAGUGGGACUUGAUAUAUCCCUAUUUUCACUGAUUUCAUCUAUGUUUUAGGUAUAGGAUUUUGAGUCUUUAUGUUAUUUCUCGAGUCUUUUUAGUGUCUUUUCAGGUAUUCUAUGCAGUGGGACGAUAAUGGAGAUAAGGAGACAUUUUGGAGCAAAAGAUAAGAAAAAGGAAGUUAAAGACGAUUUUGAGUUCCAGUUUCAGAGGAGUGUUGAUCGACACACUCCUGGUGUCGAUCGACACCAGUUUCGGCCCAGCAAAGUCCAUGACGCUUUCAAGUUUACAGAAGAGGAAAUUUGCCCCAGAAGACUUCCCUAUUUGCAUUAUUAGUCCCUGAACAUUUUAUAGGGUUUUUAUAUUGUUUUUAGACCUAAGUUUUCUUUGAUCAAGUUCUUUGCAAACCCUAUUUUCAGAGACAUAAGCUAUUCAUCCAUUGUUCUUCAGAGAUUCAUUCAGUUUUCAAUACAGUGAAGAGAUCCUUUCUAACUCUUAUCUUUAUUGUUGUGUUUAUGCUUUCUAUAUCAAAUAUGUUGUUUGCUUCAUUCAAUAUGUCUGAGUAGUCUGCUUGUUAGGAAUAGGGUUUCUCAUUAGGGAUUCAUAUGGUUUAGUAGAUCGCUCCCCUGUUAGCUUAUCUGUAGAAUUCUUCAUCUUUGAUUAAUCUUAAUGCUAGAUCUAGAGUAAUUAACUAGAUCUUGAAUCCAGACAAUAGAUAUGCCCACCAUAGGUAUCUGUAGUUGGAUCUAUUAUUUGAUGAGCCUGGUUUAUAGGUGUGUAAUAAGAAUCGGCCUAUCUACUAAGGUGAACAAUCGAACUCGUUUAGAAUGCAUGUUUAGGUUAAAAAUCUCUCGGCUUCUCUGGCUAUUCUUAGUUAUAGACAUAGGGAGUUUCGCGGAACACCACCAGUUAUUCCAUAAUUAGAGUUUGAGUUUAAGAAUGGUUCGAUAACAACCUACCUUUCAUUAGAUCUACUAACCAAUAGUUUCCUGAGAAUAUCUUGUUCCUACCUCUUUAUUUAAUCGUUUACAUACAAUCAACCUGCUGUCUUCUUACUUUGUUUUCUUAUUAUUUCAAUCAUAUCCUGCUAACUUAAUCUUGACAUUGAAUUCAUUAUGUGAACAAAAGAACUUUGUGGAAUUCGAUCCUUAAAUAUUGCAAUUG